rnacentral:rRNA from 1 species
AUGGUAGGAUAGAGGCCUACCAUGGUGGUAACGGGUAACGGGGUGUUAGGGCACGACACCGGAUAGGGAGCCUGAGAAACGGCUACCACAUCCNAGGAAGGCAGCAGGCGCGCAAAUUACCCAAUCCCGACACGGGGAGGUAGUGACAAUAAAUAACAAUACAGGGUUCUUUGAAUCUUGUAAUUGGAAUGAGUACAAUUUAAAUCUCUUAACGAGGAACAAUUGGAGGGCAAGUCUGGUGCCAGCAGCCGCGGUAAUUCCAGCUCCAAUAGCGUAUAUNAAAGUUGUUGCAGUUAAAAAGCUCGUAGUUGAAUUUCGGGGUCAGUAGGUCGGUCGUGCCACUGGUAUGAACUGGUUUUACUGAUUCCUCCCUCUUGAAGAACUGUAAUGCCAUUAAUUUGGUGUUGCAGGGAAUCAGGACUGUUACUUUGAAAAAAUUAGAGUGUUUAAAGCAGGCUUUAGCUUGAAUACAUUAGCAUGGAAUAAUGAAAUAGGACGUUUGAUCCUAUNUUGUUGGUUUCUAGGAUUGACGUAAUGAUUAAUAGGGAUAGUUGGGGGCAUUAGUAUUCAAUUGUCAGAGGUGAAAUUCUUGGAUUUAUUGAAGACUAACUACUGCGAAAGCAUUUGCCAAGGAUGUUUUCAUUAAUCAAGAACGAAAGUUAGGGGAUCGAAGACGAUCAGAUACCGUCGUAGUCUUAACCAUAAACUAUGCCGACNAGGGAUCGGAUGAUGUUAAUUUUUUAAUGACUCAUUCGGCGCCUUACGGGAAACCAAAGUGUUUGGG